CCUACGGGGGGCUGCAGUCGAGAAUCAUUCACAAUGGGGGAAACCCUGAUGGUGCGACGCCGCGUGGGGGAAUGAAGGUCUUCGGAUUGUAAACCCCUGUCAUGUGGGAGCAAAUUAAAAAGAUAGUACCACAAGAGGAAGAGACGGCUAACUCUGUGCCAGCAGCCGCGGUAAUACAGAGGUCUCAAGCGUUGUUCGGAAUCACUGGGCGUAAAGCGUGCGUAGGCUGUUUCGUAAGUCGUGUGUGAAAGGCGCGGGCUCAACCCGCGGACGGCACAUGAUACUGCGAGACUAGAGUAAUGGAGGGGGAACCGGAAUUCUCGGUGUAGCAGUGAAAUGCGUAGAUAUCGAGAGGAACACUCGUGGCGAAGGCGGGUUCCUAGACAUUAACUGACGCUGAGGCACGAAGGCCAGGGGAGCGAAAGGGAUUAGAUACCCCUGUAGUC
rnacentral:rRNA from 1 species